rnacentral:lncRNA from 1 species
UUUUUUUUAGGUACUGGGGAUUGAACUCAGGGGCACCUGACCACUGAGCCACAUCCCCAGCCCCAUUUUGUAUUUUAUUCAGAGACAGGGUCUCACUGAGUUGCUUAGCGCCUUGCUUUUGCUGAGAUUGGCUUUGAACUCUCAAUCCUCUUGCCUUAGCCUCCCAAGCUGCUGAGAUUACAGGCGUCUGCCACCUUACCUGGGUCUCAACCCUAUUUUUUAGACACAGAAUCUCACCAAAUUGCUGAGUCUGGCCUUGAAUGUGGGAUCCUUCCUCCUCUUCCUCUCCAGUCACUGGGAAUGCAGGUGUGUGCCACUGCUCCUGACUCCUCCUUUCUUAUUUGUUAAAAUGUGAAUGAGCACAGCCCAAGUGCCAUGGUACUGGUGACACAAGAAGCCAAGACAGGUGAGUGGGGAAAAGAAAUAGCCUAGCAAAUCUGAGAAAAUAUCAGACAGUUAUGUAGAGCUGGGACAGAGUGUCACUAGAUAGCUACUGCAAAUUGGGUGGCCAGGUAGGGCAUCUUGGAGAAGGUGGCAUUUAAGAUACCUGAAAAGAAGUGGCUGGUUAUGCAAAGUCCUGGAGGAACAUCCUUCUGGGCAGGGGUUGCUUAAGUUUCUGAAAUAGGGAAGAGCUUUUGUGUUUGCGAAACACAGAAGGCAGUAUGGUGGGGACAGAGAUGGUGGGUACAGAGUAAAUGGCGUGCGCGGGGGGAGGCUAAGAGAUGUGGGGCCCGAGUGUCAGGGUCAAUCACUAGGUCCUAAAGCCAGGGGAAAGGUUUGAUUUUACUCCGUGCAUGGUGGAAAAUCUUUGGAAAGCCUCUCCCCUUCACCCUUGUGUAUUAAGGGAGGUGACUUCAUCUGAUGUUCAUUUCACAGGGAUUUUUCUGUCUGUUGCUGCACUAGUUGACUGAUGGGAAAUGGGGGAAGCAGAGGGGCCAGUGGUCCAGGUGAGGGUGCUGGUGGCUUGAACUAGGUGGGCGCUGAUGGAGAAGGAGAGAAAAGAAUUCAGGAUGUGUUUUAGGUGGAUGUGGUGGUGCACACUUGUCAUCCUAGUGGUUGGGGAGGCCGAGGCAGGAGGAUCACAAAUUCCAGGCCAACCUGGACAAUUUAGUGAGGCCCUGUCUCAAAGUAUAUACAUACAUACCUACAUAUAUAAAAAGCACUAGGGAUGUAGCUUAAUGGUAAAGUACUCCUGGGUUCCAUCCCCAGUACCAGAAUGAGAAUAAAAAGUGUUUGAGACACAGAAUCAAUGGGAUUUGACAAAGCACUGGAUGUGGGGGUGAGAGAAAGAAGGGACUCAUUAGAUUUUUUUUUUUUUUUAAUUUAAGCCUCUGGGUGGAUGGUGGUACCCUGAUGAGCAUAAGACUGGAGGAGGAAGAGGCUGGGAGGAAUCACCAAGAAGUCUGUUUUGGCCAGGCCUGAGGUUGGGCGAGUUUGAGAUGCCUGUUGGAUGUUUGGGAAGGAUGCCAAGGAUACGAAGUAGAAGUCUGGAGCCUGGGAGAGGGUCAAGCCUGAGAAUUCAGUUUUGGGAGCCACAGAGAUAAACUUUGGCACCAAGGUACAAGUAAGAUGAGGGGUGGGGAGAAGGAGAAAGAAAGGUGUAUCUGAGGUUCGCUUGUAAACAGCAGUACUUAAAAAAAUUGUUUUUCUGUACUGGGGAUUGAAUGCAAGGAUCUUUUACCACCGAGCCACAUCCCCAGCCCUUUUUUAAAAAUUUUUUUUUAAAUAUUUAUUUUUCAGUUUUCGGUGGACCCAACAUCUUUGUUUUAUUUUUUAUGUGGUGCUGAGGAUCGAACCCAGCGCCCCGCGCAUGCCAGGCGAGCACAUUACCGCUUGAGCCACAUCCCCAGCCCCCCCAGCCCCUUUUUUUUUCUUUUUUUAAUUUUGAAAGAUGGGAAUAUAGUUUAGAUUCAUUUUAUAUGGAUUCAUUAAUGACUUAUACCUCAUAGGAAAUAUCACAAAAUGUUACUGCCCCGUGCAUUUUUUUUUUAAUAUUUAUUUUUUAGUAUUUGGCAGACACAACAUCUUUGUCUGUAUGUGGUGCUGAGGAUCGAACCCGGGUCGCAUGCAUGCCAGGCGAGCGCGCUACAACUUGAGCCACAUCCCCAGCCCCUGCCCCGUGCAUUUUUGCAAAGAAUAAACAAUUCAGGGAGAGUAUUAACCUUCACAUAUGUAGUUAGAGUUUAGAAAUGCACAAAAGCUUGAGUAACAAACGCUUUAAACUUAUUUUUUAAACAUUAAACGAGCCUGUUCCCUCCAAACUGGUUGAUUACAAAGUCUCAUGAUGAAUUACUAACUGUGAUAAAACUAAGAGAAAAAUCAGGAGACUUGAGAACAAAAGAAUAUCCAAUUUUGCCAAUAUCAAAAGACAAAUCAAACCAUUUAUUGUAAUAGAAAAGAAAACAAAACAAAUCCAUGUAAUUAAAUAUUAGUGAAAACUUUAUGGGGCAUAUGAUAUUUUCUCUACAUAAGUUUGCAUAUGUUUAAUGUAAACUGUCAUGUUUAAAUUUCAAUUAAAGAAUGUCAUACAUGGAAUUCUUUUUAUUUUUUUCUGGUGGUGGUGCUGUGGAUUGAACCCAGAGCUUUGUGAAUGUGAGGCAAACGUUCUACCAACUGAGCUAUAUCCUCAGCCCCUACAUGUAAUUCUUGAUGAAUCUAAAUGUAAUGGAAUGAAGAUUUAAAUAGAUCAAGGACCACAUCAUUUUAUUGGGUCAUUAUUGUGUUAAUGCUUUAGUGGUUUUCUUUUAAUUUAUUGGACUAAGCCAAUUUUAGAGGUAGAAUCUACAAUCAAAGCAUAUAGAGUGUAGCUGAAAAAACUAAAUGGUAUAGUCUUCAGUAUGUCAGAAGCAGUGAUUGUGCACUGUUUGAGGAGGUAUCCUAGCAGCCUGUGUGCCUUUGACUUGCAGCACUUCUGGAUUUCCUCCACUUCUGUGCUGCUGUCCAGCCCUACAAGAAGAAGACUCCAUGUCUCCAUAGGAAGCUAUCACUUUUUGCUUUGGUUCCUGGGAUUGAACCAGGGGCACUAACCACUGAGCCACAUCCCCAGCGCUUUAGAGGAAAAUCUGGCUAAAUUGUCCAGGCUGGCCUGGAAUUGCUGCAGUCUUCCCUCAGUAGUUCCUGAGUCUCUGGGGAUCACAGGCUUGAGCCACCAUGCCCAGCCUGGAAUAAACUAUUUUUUUUUUGUUUUGUUCUGGGGAUUGAACCCAGGGUGGCUUAACCAUUGAGCCACAAACCCCACCCUUUUGAUUCUUUAUGUAGAGAUAGGGUCUUGCUAAGUUGCUUAGGGUCUCACUUAGUUGCUGAGGCUGGCAUCAAACUUUCAAUCCUCUUGCCUCAGCCUCCUGAGCUGCUGGGUUGCAGGUGUGCACCAAUGUACUCGGCUGUGUUUAUUUUUUGAGAUAUGAUCCUGACAUGUCAUCCACUCCCUUUGUAAUUGAUCCUUCAACCUCAGCCACAUAGUUGGCAUUACCAGCAUGUGCUAUAACCCAGCUGCACAUAUCUUUAAUAAACUAUUUUCUUGGGAAAAAAAAAGAAAGAAGUAGUGAUUGUGAUUAAACAAAAUUGCUAGAAGUAAAAACCAGGGACAGUGGUGCAUGCCUGUAAUCCCAGCAGCAUAGGAGGCUGAGACGGGAGGAUCGCAAGUUCAAAACCACCCUCACCCUUGGUGAGGCACUAAGCAACUCAGUGAGACCCUGUGUCUAAGUAAAAUAGAGCAGGGGAUGUGGAUCAGUGGUUGAGAGCCUCUGAGUUCAAUCCCCGGUACCCUUUCCCCCCCAAAAUUACUGCAAUCCAUGUAUAAAAUAACAUUUUAGAAGUUUUUUAUGAUGUUUGCACUGUAAUAAAAUCAAUCUGAAUAAUGUAAGUAAUAUGUGC